rnacentral:tRNA from 1 species
GCCCAAGUGGCGGAAUGGUAGACGCAGGGGAUUCAAAAUCCCCCGACCUUACGGUUGUGCCGGUUCGAGUCCGGCCUUGGGUA